rnacentral:rRNA from 1 species
UACGUAGGGGGCAAGCGUUGUCCGGAUUUAUUGGGCGUAAAGAGCGUGUAGGCGGUUAGGUAGGUCCGUUGUGAAAACUCGAGGCUCAACCUCGAGACGCCGAUGGAAACCAUCUAACUAGAGUCCGGAAGAGGAGAGUGGAAUUCCUGGUGUAGCGGUGAAAUGCGCAGAUAUCAGGAAGAACACCCGUGGCUAAGGCGGCUCUCUGGGCCAUAACUGACGCUGAGGAGCGAAAGCAUGGGGAGCGAACAGG